rnacentral:rRNA from 1 species
UAGGGAAUCUUCCGCAAUGGAUGAAAGUCUGACGGAGCAACGCCGCGUGAGCGAAGAAGGCCUUCGGGUCGUAAAGCUCUGUUGUUAGGGAAGAACAAGUAUCGGAGUAACUGCCGGUACCUUGACGGUACCUAACCAGAAAGCCACGGCUAACUACGUGCCAGCAGCCGCGGUAAUACGUAGGUGGCAAGCGUUGUCCGGAAUUAUUGGGCGUAAAGCGCGCGCAGGCGGUCCUUUAAGUCUGAUGUGAAAGCCCACGGCUCAACCGUGGAGGGUCAUUGGAAACUGGGGGACUUGAGUGCAGAAGAGGAGAGUGGAAUUCCACGUGUAGCGGUGAAAUGCGUAGAGAUGUGGAGGAACACCAGUGGCGAAGGCGACUCUCUGGUCUGUAACUGACGCUGAGGCGCGAAAGCGUGGGGAGCAAACAGGAUUAGAUACCCUGGUAGUCCACGCCGUAAACGAUGAGUGCUAAGUGUUAGAGGGUUUCCGCCUUUAGUGCUGCA